AAGAUUUUAAGUUAUCCAAACUAUUGGCCUUCAAAGCCUAAAAAAAAAGUUUCACCCUUUUAAAUCUUA
rnacentral:tRNA from 1 species